rnacentral:rRNA from 1 species
AUUGAACGCUGGCGGCAGGCUUAACACAUGCAAGUCGAACGGUAGCAGGAAGAAAGCUUGCUUUCUUUGCUGACGAGUGGCGGACGGGUGAGUAAUGCUUGGGAAUCUGGCUUAUGGAGGGGGAUAACUGUGGGAAACUGCAGCUAAUACCGCGUAAUCUCUGAGGAGUAAAGGGUGGGACCUCUUGGCCACCUGCCAUAAGAUGAGCCCAAGUGGGAUUAGGUAGUUGGUGGGGUAAAGGCCUACCAAGCCUGCGAUCUCUAGCUGGUCUGAGAGGAUGACCAGCCACACUGGAACUGAGACACGGUCCAGACUCCUACGGGAGGCAGCAGUGGGGAAUAUUGCGCAAUGGGGGGAACCCUGACGCAGCCAUGCCGCGUGAAUGAAGAAGGCCUUCGGGUUGUAAAGUUCUUUCGGUAAUGAGGAAGGGAUGUUGUUAAAUAGAUAGCAUCAUUGACGUUAAUUACAGAAGAAGCACCGGCUAACUCCGUGCCAGCAGCCGCGGUAAUACGGAGGGUGCGAGCGUUAAUCGGAAUAACUGGGCGUAAAGGGCACGCAGGCGGACUUUUAAGUGAGAUGUGAAAUCCCCGAGCUUAACUUGGGAAUUGCAUUUCAGACUGGGAGUCUAGAGUACUUUAGGGAGGGGUAGAAUUCCACGUGUAGCGGUGAAAUGCGUAGAGAUGUGGAGGAAUACCGAAGGCGAAGGCAGCCCCUUGGGAAUGUACUGACGCUCAUGUGCGAAAGCGUGGGGAGCAAACAGGAUUAGAUACCCUGGUAGUCCACGCUGUAAACGCUGUCGAUUUGGGGAUUGGGCUAUAUGCUUGGUGCCCGAAGCUAACGUGAUAAAUCGACCGCCUGGGGAGUACGGCCGCAAGGUUAAAACUCAAAUGAAUUGACGGGGGCCCGCACAAGCGGUGGAGCAUGUGGUUUAAUUCGAUGCAACGCGAAGAACCUUACCUACUCUUGACAUCCAGAGAAGCUUGCAGAGAUGCGAGUGUGCCUUCGGGAGCUCUGAGACAGGUGCUGCAUGGCUGUCGUCAGCUCGUGUUGUGAAAUGUUGGGUUAAGUCCCGCAACGAGCGC